rnacentral:rRNA from 1 species
GAAGUGGCUGCUAUACCACUCAGUGAAUGGCUCGGCUCAAGAGCUGAUGAAGGACGUGCCAAGCUGCGAUAUGCCCCGGGUAGGCGCAAGGAGCCUUUGAACCGGGGAUCUCCGAAUGGGAACUCCUAACCGAUUGGUUGAUCCCGUUAGGGAUCGGGAACGCCCCGGAUUGAAACAUCUUAGUAGGGGCAGGAAGAGAAAUCGUAAGAGAUACCGUGAGUAAAGGCGAUUGAAAGCGGCACAGUUCAAACCGAAUCCCCGCAAGGGGAGAUGUAGUGUUAUAAGCCGAAUCCGUAACGCAGAGCCUGAGAAGCUGAAGUUGUCUGGAAAGACACGCCAUAGGGGGUGAUAGCCCCGUAAGCGCAAUCAGUCUGCCGGGAUUCGUGUCUUGAGUACCGUGAGUUGGAAUUCUCGCGGGAAUUUGGGAGUCACCAACUUCCAAGACUAAAUACAACUUGAGACCGAUAGUGUACUAGUAGGGUGACCGAAAGCUGAAAAGCACCCCAUAUAGGGAGGUGCAAAGGGCCUGAAAUUGAGUGGUGAUGGUGCGGCAGGGCAUGAAAGGAUCCUCGAUGCGAAGGAAGACGUCGCGAGGCGUUUGUACGAGCAUCGUCGCCAAUGUUCUGUCUUACGUUUUGAAGAACGGGCCAGGGAGUGUAUUCGGAUGGCAAGGUUAAGGUCUACACGGCCGGAGCCGAAGGGAAACCGACAAGUCCGUAGCUCGCAAGAGUGUGGGACGGCGUACAAAAAGUGCGCGGAGUCAUCAGGAUACGACCCGAAACCGAGUGAUCUAGGCGUGGGCAGGUUGAAGCGUGACGAAAGUUGCGUGGAGGACCGUUAGCGGUGCUGAUUUGCAAAUCGCUCGCGUGACCUGUGUCUAGGGGUGAAAGUCCAAUCGAACUCGGAAACAGCUGGUUCCUUCCGAGACAUGUCGUAGCAUGACCUCGACGGAGACAGUCGGCGGAGUAGAGCACUGAUUGAGGGAGCUGUGGGAGAAAUCCCUCACCCCUCUGUCAAACUCCAAAACCGCCGUCGUCGUAGAUGUCGGGAGUCCGGGCUGGGGGGUAAGCUUCUAGUCCGAGAGGGAAACAACCCAGACCGUGGUUAAGGCCCUAAAAUGUCGGCUAAGUGUAAUUAAAAGGGCGUCCCAGGCCAUAGACAGCUGGGAGGUGAGCUCAGAAGCAGCUAACCUUUAAAAAGUGCGUAACAGCUUACCAGUCGAGGUUUGGGGCCCCGAAAAUGGACGGGGCUCAAGCCGACUGCCGAUACCACGGAGCACGGAGACGUGAUCUGGUAGGAAGGCGUCCUGCGUGGGCAGAAGCAGGGCUGUAAAGUCCUGUGGACCGCGCAGGAACGAAGAUCCUGGCAAUAGUAGCAGCAUAGUCGGGUGAGAAUCCCGACCGCCGAAAGGGCUAGGUUUCCUCGACAAUGUUCGUCAGUCGAGGGUUAGUCGGUCCUAAGAUGCACCGUAAUUCGAGUGCGUCAAAAGGGAAACAGGUUAAUAUUCCUGUACCACGCGACAUUAAAACCUGACGCCUCCGGGUAGUUCGAACAGUGAUGCCAAACUGUCCAAGCGUAUUAAGUUCGCGGAGAACCGUAAUGGUGAGAAACGAACCAAAGCGUGAUGGGGAAACUCGGAUAAUCCCAGGGGCCCGUGAAAAAGGGAGUCGAUGGCCGUACCAAGAUCUGACACAGGUGCCCCUAGUUGAGAAGACUAAGGCGUGUCGGCAUAACCCACCCAAGGGAAAUCGGCAAAUUAGCCCCGUAACUUCGGGAGAAGGGGUGCCUGCUCUGAGAAGAGCAGGUCGCAGUGACUAGGGGGCUCUAACUGUCUAAUAACAACACAGGUGAUUGCUAACCCGAAAGGGCAAGUACAAUCACUGAAUCCUGCCCAGUGCAGGUACCUGAACAUCCGGUUCAACGGGAAGAAGGGCCUGUCAACGGCGGGGGUAACUAUGACCCUCUUAAGGUAGCGUAGUACCUUGCCGCUUAAUUGGCGGCUUGCAUGAAUGGACCAAUGAGAGCCCUACUGUCCCUGGGUGGAACCCGGUGAACUUUACAUUCCAGUGCAGAGUCUGGAGACCCCUGAUGGGAAGUGAAGACCCCGUGGAGCUUUACUGCAGCCUGUCGUUGGGAUGCGGUUGUGCAUGCGCAGCGUAGGUAGGAGGCGUCGAUCCACUGCUUCUGGGCGGUGGGGAGCCGAUCCUGAGACACUACCCUUGUACGGUUGUGUCCCUUACCGUGAGAAUGGGACCCCGAUAGGUGGGCAGUUUGGCUGGGGCGGCACGCCCUUGAAAAGAUAUCAAGGGUGCCCAAAGGUUGACUCAGGUGGGUCAGAACCCCACCGAAGAGCGUAAGGGCAAAAGUCAGCCUGAUGUGAUUCAGCAAAGUAGUGGAUCACAAGACGAAAGUCGGGCCUAACGAACCUUUAUGCCCUAUUGGUGAGGGCUAAAGAUGACAGAAAAGCUACCCCGGGGAUAACAGAGUUGUCACCAGUAAGAGCACAUAUCGACCUGGUGGCUUGCUACCUCGAUGUCGGUUCUUUCCAUCCUGGCCGUGCAGAAGCGGCCAAGGGUGAGGUUGUUCGCCUAUUAAAGGAGAUCGUGAGCUGGGUUUAGACCGUCGUGAGACAGGUCGGUUACUAUCUGUCAGGGGUGUGUUGAAGUCUGAGGGGAAGUUGGCUAUAGUACGAGAGGAACUAGCCAACGUGGCCUCUGGUCUAUCGGUUGUCUGGCAAGGCAGUGCCGAGCAGCUACGCCAUAAUGGAUAAGAGCUGAAUGCAUCUAAGCUCGAAACCAACCCCGAAAAGAGACCUCUUAAGGACAUCGGUAAAAGACCGGUUUGAUAGAGUCGGGAUGUGCGCACCAAGGCAACGAGGUGUUCAGUCCGCGGCCACUAACGUCCGAGCCACACCUU